UUCUUACACGCCUGUUUCUCUCUUAUCUCACCUACCUAUCCUUCUUUAGUCGGUUACAAGUUGUUCAAGCAGCUGUUACAAGUCGCUGAUGAUGUUUAUGAUCCAAUGUGGAUCUUAUUUCAGUUGUUGAUCCUUCGUGUGGAUCUGUGGUUACUAUAGAUCCUGUGGAUCUCUGUUUUGGUUGUAUUGUCCUUGUUAAUCAACUGAUAAUCAUCAGUUGAUUAUUUAUUAUUUCUUGUACUGUUUGUAUUUUGGAUCUUACAGUUUGUAAGGUCUUGGGCGUUGGGUGUUUUUCGGUUUGGGUAACUAAUAAGAUUUUUACGUCACGUUUUGUCGCUUCUUUUGUGUUUCUUGUUGUUUCUGUGUUUGUAUUGUGAGUCUUUCAUACCAUUUUGACAUGGUAUCAGAGCCACAGGCUCUUGAUUCGUUGUUUUUUUUUUCAAAGUUUUGUUAAUAAUAAAAACCCUUAUUUGUUCAUUUGAUUCAUGGAUCUGAAGUGUUGGGUUUAUUAUUGUUUGAGUAUUUCUGAUCUUGGGGUUCAACCGUGUUUUGAGUUUUUAAGUGCUCUUGUGACUUAGUGGUUGUUCGAUUCUAGUGUCUUCCGCUGCAAGAGUGAUUCGUCUUUUAGGGUUUCUUUCGUCUUGAACCCUAGAUUUUUUGUUUGUCUCGUUGUCGAUUGGUUUAGGGUUCAAUCACACAUUUUCAAUCCUAAGUCGAAGGUUCUCCUGAUAUUUGGUGUUCUAGCACUGUUCGUUGUACAAAACCCUAGCUCAAGCAGUCUCUGAAAAAACAGCACAUCUUGAUUCGCUGGUCUCUUUGGCAAGGUUAUUGUGGAAAAGGGACGUUAAUAUAUUGUUGUCAAUUUGGGCUUGUUCAAGUUGAAACUGCUGAUCCGUGUUUAGAGUGUUGUACCCAGGGUUUCUAGCGACCUGAAUAUGAUCUAUUGUUCUUUUCACAGUAAAUCCAAAAUUACCACUUAUUGGAAGAUUAGGGGGCAAAGUGAAACAUGGGCUGUUGCUGUUAUAAAAAAGGAAAAGUUAAGUGUAUCUGGAUGAUUCUUACACGCCUGUUUCUCUCUUAUCUCACCUACCUAUCCUUCUUUAGUCGGUUACAAGUUGUUCAAGCAGCUGUUACAAGUCGCUGAUGAUGUUUAUGAUCCAAUGUGGAUCUUAUUUCAGUUGUUGAUCCUUCGUGUGGAUCUGUGGUUACUAUAGAUCCUGUGGAUCUCUGUUUUGGUUGUAUUGUCCUUGUUAAUCAACUGAUAAUCAUCAGUUGAUUAUUUAUUAUUUCUUGUACUGUUUGUAUUUUGGAUCUUACAGUUUGUAAGGUCUUGGGCGUUGGGUGUUUUUCGGUUUGGGUAACUAAUAAGAUUUUUACGUCACGUUUUGUCGCUU
rnacentral:lncRNA from 1 species